UACGUAGGGUGCGAGCGUUGUCCGGAAUUAUUGGGCGUAAAGAGCUCGUAGGCGGUCUGUCGCGUCUGCUGUGAAAACCCGAGGCUCAACCUCGGGCCUGCAGUGGGUACGGGCAGACUAGAGUGCGGUAGGGGAGAAUGGAACUCCUGGUGUAGCGGUGGAAUGCGCAGAUAUCAGGAAGAACACCGAUGGCGAAGGCAGUUCUCUGGGCCGUAACUGACGCUGGAGGAGCGAAAGCGUGGGGAGCGAACAGGA
rnacentral:rRNA from 1 species